GAUGAACGCUGGCGGCGUGCCUAAUACAUGCAAGUCGAGCGAACGGACGAGAAGCUUGCUUUUCUGAUGUUAGCGGCGGACGGGUGAGUAACACGUGGAUAACCUACCUAUAAGACUGGGAUAACUUCGGGAAACCGGAGCUAAUACCGGAUAAUAUUUUGAACCGCAUGGUUCAAAAGUGAAAGACGGUCUUGCUGUCACUUAUAGAUGGAUCCGCGCUGCAUUAGCUAGUUGGUAAGGUAACGGCUUACCAAGGCAACGAUGCAUAGCCGACCUGAGAGGGUGAUCGGCCACACUGGAACUGAGACACGGUCCAGACGCCUACGGGAGGCAGCAGUAGGGAAUCUUCCGCAAUGGGCGAAAGCCUGACGGAGCAACGCCGCGUGAGUGAUGAAGGUCUUCGGAUCGUAAAACUCUGUUAUUAGGGAAGAACAUAUGUGUAAGUAACUGUGCACAUCUUGACGGUACCUGAUCAGAAAGCCACGGCGAACUACGU
rnacentral:rRNA from 1 species